CGGGGUGUGGCGCAGCCUGGUAGCGCACCUGCUUUGGGAGCAGGGGGCCGGAGGUUCAAAUCCUCUCACCCCGA
rfam:Candidatus Rokubacteria bacterium 13_1_20CM_4_70_14 13_1_20cm_4_scaffold_1973, whole genome shotgun sequence.